rnacentral:rRNA from 1 species
UACGGAGGGUGCAAGCGUUGUUCGGAAUUACUGGGCGUAAAGCGCGUGUAGGCGGCUUAUUAUGUCAGGUGUGAAAGCCCUCGGCCUAACCGAGGAAGUGCGCCUGAAACUGACAAGCUUGAGUACGAGAGAGGAGGACGGAAUUCCCAGUGUAGAGGUGAAAUUCGUAGAUAUUGGGAGGAACACCGGUGGCGAAAGCGGUUCUCUGGAUCGAUACUGACGCUAAGACGCGAAAGCGUGGGGAUCAAACAGG